rnacentral:rRNA from 1 species
GACGAACGCUGGCGGCGUGCUUAACACAUGCAAGUCGAGCGGUAAGGCCCUUUCGGAGGUACACGAGCGGCGAACGGGUGAGUAACACGUGGGUGACCUGCCUUUAGCUCUGGGAUAAGCCUGGGAAACCGGGUCUAAUACCGGAUAUGACUCCGCGGCGCAUGUUGUGGGUGGAAAGCCUUGUGCGGCUGGAGAUGGGCCCGCGGCCUAUCAGCUUGUUGGUGGGGUGAUGGCCACCAAGGCGACGACGGGUAGCCGGCCUGAGAGGGCGACCGGCCACACUGGGACUGAGACACGGCCCAGACUCCUACGGGAGGCAGCAGUGGGGAAUCUUGCGCAAUGGGCGAAAGCCUGACGCAGCGACGCCGCGUGAGGGAUGACGGCCUCGGUGUAA